UACGUAGGGGGCUAGCGUUGUCCGGAUUUAUUGGGCGUAAAGAGCGUGUAGGCGGCCAUGUAGGUCCGGUGUGAAAACUCGAGGCUUAACCUCGAGAUGUCAUCGGAAACCAUUUGGCUAGAGUCCGGAAGAGGAGAGUGGAAUUCCUGGUGUAGCGGUGAAAUGCGCAGAUAUCAGGAAGAACACCAAUGGCGAAAGCAGCUCUCUGGGACGGUACUGACGCUGAGACGCGAAA
rnacentral:rRNA from 1 species